UACAGAGGGUGCGAGCGUUAAUCGGAAUUACUGGGCGUAAAGCGCGCGUAGGCGGCUUUGUAAGUUAGAGGUGAAAGCCCGGGGCUCAACCCCGGAACUGCCUUUAAAACUGCAUCGCUUGAAUCCGGGAGAGGUGAGUGGAAUUCCGAGUGUAGAGGUGAAAUUCGUAGAUAUUCGGAAGAACACCAGUGGCGAAGGCGGCUCACUGGACCGGCAUUGACGCUGAGGUGCGAAAGCGUGGGGAGCAAACAGGG
rnacentral:rRNA from 1 species